GUGGGGAAUAUUGGGCAAUGGGGGAAACCCUGACCCAGCGACGCCGCGUGAGGGAAGAAGGCCUUAGGGUCGUAAACCUCUGUUGUGUGGGAAGAAGAGCGUGACGGUACCACACGAGGAAGUCCCGGCUAACUACGUGCCAGCAGCCGCGGUAAUACGUAGGGGACGAGCGUUGUCCGGAUUUACUGGGCGUAAAUGGCGCGUAGGCGGUCAUUUAAGUCAGCUGUGAAAUGGUUUGGCUUAACCGGAUCAUGCGGUUGAAACUGAAUUUCUUGAGUGCAGGAGAGGAAAGGGGAAUUCCCAGUGUAGCGGUGAAAUGCGUAGAUAUUGGGAGGAACACCAGUGGCGAAGGCGCCUUUCUGGACUGUGUCUGACGCUGAGAUGCGAAAGCCAGGGUAGCGAACGGGAUUAGAUACCCCGGUAGUCC
rnacentral:rRNA from 1 species